UUGAACAAUGACAACCUUCAAAAUAAAAUUCUUUUUUGUUUUCUUUUUUUUUUUUAAUUUUGUUGUCAGUUCAAAUAAAAUUUUCAUAUUAUUAUUUUCAUCGCAAUUUUUCCAUAUUUACAUAUUUUCUAACUCUUUCCUCGUCUUCCACGAAGAUUUCAAGACAUGAAUAUUUGACAACGACUACAGCGCAGUCUGCCGGAUCCUAUUUGAUCGUAUUGUGAAUCUAAACCAUCCUCAAACCCCCUGGAAUACACACAAAAAAUUUUAUCAAAAUCGGUCCAGCCGUUUAGGAGGAGUUCAAUGACUAACACACGUACAGAAGAUUUAUAUAUCAGAUGAGAUACAUAAAUUUAGAAAGAGUUACAUUACUCAGAAGGGCUACCUCUGUCAGGGAGGUAAGCAUUCACUUGGAUAGUAGAGCAGCAAUCCUGGCCAUAAAUUCGCUCAAAACUACACAAGGAGUUCUUAGCAUCUCUAUCAAUAGCUUCUAGCUACUGUCAUAUAAAAAUCGUUUAGGUCCCAGAUCAUAGCUGCAUCGCUGUGGACUUCAAAGCCGAUGAGCUUGAGUGUAAGGGCACCCAAACUGCAAUCUCAUCAGGUUGGGAACAAACUGGUGUCCAUAUCCUAGUGCCCCUCUACGUUGGAUCAGUGGUCGUUGAAUGAAUACGGUAGGCGUUGGACAACACCAAGUACCUGUGGGACUACGAGAUCAUUCUGGCCAAAGUGGAUCGCAGUAGAAGCACCGAGUUUGAUUGGGCUGCAUGCCGUGAGGCUAAAUUUCCUGACGAAUGCAAAUUGCAAAAGCUGCAAGCAAGAAGAAGAGAUUGAGACAUCGAGACACUUUUGUUGGAAUCCCCGCCUUUCAAAUGAGUUAGUCUAAAACGAAUAUAAUUGCCAGGGUCUCAAUAAGCCGCAAAUAUCAUUUCAUUUUUUCUGGGCUCUGCACCAAUUACUAUGGAAUAUCCAUGGGUAAGUGACCAGUCAACACCGAGCGAAUGAUGUGUGUUGACGGAAAGCGAGCAAUGUUGAUGUUGCAAAAAGCGGCCGAAAUAGUCCGGCGAGACUGUGACUGAAGCUGAUUAAUCGUUGCAAAGGUCAAUCGUUGAGCCGGACAAGCGAGCGAGCCAACCCAGCCCACAGCCCGGCAAUCCAAGCGCAACGCCGAAAUCGUAUAUUACGCUAACUCGCUUACUCCCCUGUCAUGUCAUUGACUCUAAUGUGUUUUCAUUCGGUUUUUUUUCCGUUUUGUUGGCAUUAACGCAACGAAACUAUCUGUGGGUCUGCAAGUGUUGAAGUGUCUACACAUUAGCACAAGG